UUGAACGCUGGCGGCAUGCUUUACACAUGCAAGUCGAACGGCAGCGGAGAGUGCUUGCACUCUGCCGGCGAGUGGCGAACGGGUGAGUAACAUAUUGGAACGUACCGAGUAAUGGGGGAUAACUAUCCGAAAGGAUAGCUAAUACCGCAUACGCUUUGAGAAGGAAAGUGGGGGAUCUUCGGACCUCACGUUAUUCGAGCGGCCAAUAUUGAUUAGCUAGUUGGUGGGGUAAAGGCCUACCAAGGCGACGAUCAGUAGCGGGUCUGAGAGGAUGAUCCGCCACACUGGGACUGAGACACGGCCCAGACUCCUACGGGAGGCAGCAGUGGGGAAUUUUGGACAAUGGGCGCAAGCCUGAUCCAGCCAUGCCGCGUGUCUGAAGAAGGCCUUCGGGUUGUAAAGGACUUUUGUUAGGGAAGAAAAAAAAUGGGUUAAUACCCCAUUUUGCUG
rnacentral:rRNA from 1 species